AUCGAACGCUGGCGGCAUGCCUAACACAUGCAAGUCGAGCGGAUGAACGGCGCUCUCUCAUGGGUUAAGGGGCGGGCGGGGGAGUGAUGCCUAGGAAUCUGCCUGGCAGAGCCGGAUGACGUCAGGACACGGGCGCUAAUACGGCACACGGCCAGAGUGAGAACCUGAGGGAUCAUCGGACCGCACGCGAUCAUAUGACCCUGGGUCGGAUUAGCUAGUUGGUGGGGUAAUGGCGUACCAAGGUGACGCUCCGAAGCUGGUCUGAGAGGCUGAUCAGUCACCCUGGAACUGAGACACGGUCCAGACUCCUACGGGAGGAAGCAGUGGGGAAUAUUGGGGAAGGGGCGAAAGCAUGAUGCAGCAAUGCCGCGUGUGUGAGGAAGGUCUUCGGAUUGUAAAGCACUUUAAGUGGGGAGGAAGGGAAGUAAGUUAAUCCGUGGCUGUGUUGACGGUACCUACAGAAGAAGCGCCGGCUAACUUCGUG
rnacentral:rRNA from 1 species